rnacentral:rRNA from 1 species
CAGUCGCCACGGUAAUACGAGGGGAGCUAGCGUUGUUCGGAAUUACUGGGCGUAAAGCGCGCGUAGGCGGCUUUUUAAGUCAGAGGUGGAAGCCCGGGGCUCAACCCCGGAAUUGCCUUUGAAACUGGAAAGCUAGAAUCUUGGAGAGGUCAGUGGAAUUCCGAGUGUAGGGGUGAAAUUCGUAGAUAUUCGGAAGAACACCAGUGGCGAAGGCGACUGACUGGACAAGUAUUGACGCUGAGGUGCGAAAGCGUGGGGAGCAAACAGGAUUAGAUACCCGCGUAGUCCCUGUCUCUUAUAA